rnacentral:tRNA from 2 species
GCCGCCAUGGUGAAAUUGGUAGACACGCU